GUGCUCACUUCCGCAGUACACACACUAAAACUGGACCUAUACAGAGAAGAUUAGCAUGGCCCUAAGGAUGCUAUGCAAAUCUGUAACUCCAAUAUAAU
ensembl:snRNA U6 U6 spliceosomal RNA